UACGGAGGAUGCAAGCGUUAUCCGGAAUUAUUGGGCGUAAAGCGUCCGCAGGUGGCUUACCAAGUCUGCUGUCAAAGCGCAGGGCUUAACUCUGUAAGGGCAGUGGAAACUGGUAGGCUAGAGUGCGACAGGGGUAGAGGGAAUUCCCAGUGUAGCGGUGAAAUGCGUAGAUAUUGGGAAGAACACCAGUGGCGAAGGCGCUCUACUGGGUCGCAACUGACACUCAUGGACGAAAGCUAGGGGAGCGAAAGGG
rnacentral:rRNA from 1 species